ACUCCUCUGACCUUCAAUUUUGGUGACAGUCCAAUUCCACCUGAGUGGCAAGAGCGAAUUGCAGCCAAGCUGAAUGCCAUGCUGGAGGUUUUCUCACAUGAUGACCUUGAUUUUGGGUGCACGAGUCAUGUUAAGCAUCACAUCAACCUUCAUGAUAAUAUAACUUUCAAGCAUCGUGCAUGACCUAUUCACCCGAAUUACAUCGGAGCAGUCUGAAAACAUCUCCAGGAGCUUUUUGAUGGCGGUGUGAUUAGGGAGUGAGAAUCGCCUUUACCAAUUCCCUAUUGUGGUUGUGAAAAAGAAAAAUGGAAAUAUCAGAUUGUUUAUUGCUUAUCGGAAGUUGAAUUUACAGACAAUAAAGGAUGCUUACUCGUUACCUAAUCUGGAGGAGUCUUUUUCUGCGCUCAGUGGAGCUAAGUGGUUUUCAGUCCUUGACCUAAAAUCAGGCUAUUACCAAAUUGAGGUGCACGAAAAGGAAA